CAUCACACACCGUCCCCCAGCGCCCCAAGUGCCACACCUCCAGCCGGCCCGAGCACCUGCUGGGCCCUGCCACCAGGCGCAGCUGGGGGGACCCUGGGGUGGGGCAAAGACCAAGCCGGGAGUCGGGGACACCUCCCAGAGGGAACAGGACAGUUUGCUGCAGGAGAGAGCCUUGUGCACACCGCCACUGCCCGGCCCCCACCUCCCUCCAGGCCGCACACCGAGCAACUCCACAGCCCUACGCAGAAAUGGCGCUGAAGACACAGCUGCCCUCCAUCCUGCAUCCUAACCUCCCCGUUCCCCCGGGUGGACCCCACCCAUCGCAGAGAGGGACCUGGGUUUGAGCCCCAGCACCACACGCACCACAGGUGCCGCAUCUGUUUCUCCUCUCUCCCGGCCUGUCUCUGUCCUGAGCAGAGUCCUCUGGGAGUGGUGCAAUCAUUUGGUGACCACCUAACACAAGACCAACACCCCCAC